AGUUUGAUCCUGGCUCAGGAUGAACGCUAGCUACAGGCUUAACACAUGCAAGUCGAGGGGCAGCAUUUCAGUUUGCUUGCAAACUGGAGAUGGCGACCGGCGCACGGGUGAGUAACACGUAUCCAACCUGCCGAUAACUCGGGGAUAGCCUUUCGAAAGAAAGAUUAAUACCCGAUGGCAUAAUUAGACCGCAUGGUCUUAUUAUUAAAGAAUUUCGGUUAUCGAUGGGGAUGCGUUCCAUUAGGCAGUUGGUGAGGUAACGGCUCACCAAACCUUCGAUGGAUAGGGGUUCUGAGAGGAAGGUCCCCCACAUUGGAACUGAGACACGGUCCAAAUCCUACGGGAGGCAGCAGUGAGGAAUAUUGGUCAAUGGACGAGAGUCUGAACCAGCCAAGUAGCGUGAAGGAUGACUGCCCUAUGGGUUGUAAACUUCUUUUAUAUGGGAAUAAAGUUUUCCACGUGUGGAAUUUUGUAUGUACCAUAUGAAUAAGGAUCGGCUAACUCCGUGCCAGCAGCCGCGGUAAUACGGAGGAUCCGAGCGUUAUCCGGAUUUAUUGGGUUUAAAGGGAGCGUAGGUGGACAGUUAAGUCAGUUGUGAAAGUUUGCGGCUCAACCGUAAAAUUGCAGUUGAUACUGGCUGUCUUGAGUACAGUAGAGGUGGGCGGAAUUCGUGGUGUAGCGGUGAAAUGCUUAGAUAUCACGAAGAACUCCGAUUGCGAAGGCAGCUCACUGGACUGCAACUGACACUGAUGCUCGAAAGUGUGGGUAUCAAACAGGAUUAGAUACCCUGGUAGUCCACACAGUAAACGAUGAAUACUCGCUGUUUGCGAUAUACAGUAAGCGGCCAAGCGAAAGCAUUAAGUAUUCCACCUGGGGAGUACGCCGGCAACGGUGAAACUCAAAGGAAUUGACGGGGGCCCGCACAAGCGGAGGAACAUGUGGUUUAAUUCGAUGAUACGCGAGGAACCUUACCCGGGCUUAAAUUGCAUUUGAAUAAUCUGGAAACAGGUUAGCCGCAAGGCAAAUGUGAAGGUGCUGCAUGGUUGUCGUCAGCUCGUGCCGUGAGGUGUCGGCUUAAGUGCCAUAACGAGCGCAACCCUUAUCUUUAGUUACUAACAGGUCAUGCUGAGGACUCUAGAGAGACUGCCGUCGU
rnacentral:rRNA from 1 species